rnacentral:rRNA from 1 species
CCUACGGGUGGCAGCAGUGGGGAAUAUUGGACAAUGGGGGCAACCCUGAUCCAGCCAUGCCGCGUGUGUGAAGAAGGCCCUCGGGUUGUAAAGCACUUUCAGUGAGGAAGAACGCCUGGUGGUUAAUACCCAUCAGGAAAGACAUCACUCACAGAAGAAGCACCGGCUAACUCCGUGCCAGCAGCCGCGGUAAUACGGAGGGUGCGAGCGUUAAUCGGAAUUACUGGGCGUAAAGCGCGCGUAGGUGGCUUGAUAAGCCGGUUGUGAAAGCCCCGGGCGCAACCUGGGAACGGCAUCCGGAACUGUCAAGCUAGAGUGCAGGAGAGGAAGGUAGAAUUCCCGGUGUAGCGGUGAAAUGCGUAGAGAUCGGGAGGAAUACCAGUGGCGAAGGCGGCCUUCUGGACUGACACUGACACUGAGGUGCGAAAGCGUGGGUAGCAAACAGGAUUAGAUACCCUGGUAGUC